rnacentral:lncRNA from 1 species
UUUAAGUGAUUAAAUUGAAAUUUAUUUAUUUUUAAACUCUGUUGUAUUGUAUUAGUAUUAAAAUUAUAUAUUCCAAAAAAUUUAGAUUAAAUUUAAAAAAUCAGUCUCUAAUAUUUAUUUAUGUUUUCAAAUAAAAAAUAACAAAAGAACUUUUUAAAAUAUGUUUUCAAAUAUUUAUAUGAAUUCAAAAUUUUAAAUAUAACCUAUUUUGUUCAAUAUAUUGAAAUAUAUCCUAUUUGUUUCAAUAUAUUUCAAUAUAUUAAACUAAAUCAGUCUCUCUUUUUAAAAAAAAUAUUAAAA